rnacentral:lncRNA from 1 species
UUGACCUUACAAAUUGUUUUAGAGACCUAAGUAAACAUAACACUCAUCUAAAGGGAUUUCGUGAAUGAUCUAUUGGCAGUAUCCAAGAUGUUAAGAGAUCCCUAUUUCCAAAUUAUCCUAGAACCAAAAAAUAUCACAGCACUUCAACCCCUGGUGUUACAGAUGAGAAAACCAAGGUGGAAAGCGGCAUCCUGCAUUCUCUUCUUGUCCUUGGCCUCAUCUCUGCUAUGGGCUGUGCCACCUCUAUAUGCUCUUUCUCACCACCAGGCCUUCA